GUUGAGAUAUGAUAGGUCUGAAGAAGCAUGCCCUUCUGCAGGAGGCCAGGAUUCGACUAGUGAUGGGCCCUGAUAGCAGAGGGCACCCGUAUGUUGUCUCUGCCAUCACUGAGAUCAGAAGAGCA